rnacentral:rRNA from 1 species
UACGUAGGGGCCUAGCGUUGUCCGGAUUUAUUGGGCGUAAAGAGCUCGUAGGCGGUUUGGUAAGUCAGGUGUGAAAUCUCCACGCUCAACGUGGAGGGGCCACCCGAAACUGCCAUGGCUUGAGUCCGGUAGGGGAGUGUGGAAUUCCCGGUGUAGCGGUGAAAUGCGCAGAUAUCGGGAGGAACACCCGUAGCGAAGGCGGCACUCUGGGCCGGUACUGACGCUGAGGAGCGAAAGCGUGGGGAGCAAACAGG